rnacentral:rRNA from 1 species
UUUACCCGUGGGAAAUAAGCAUAUCAGUAAGCGGUGGAAAGCAAACUAAACAGGAUUCUCUUAGUAACUGCGAGUGAACAGAGAUUAGCCCAACAUCGAAGCCACCAUGCAUUUGUAUGGGAGGCAAUGUGAUGUUUUGGUGUUUGAACGCACUGUCUGGCUAACUUGAAGUCCAUAUUUGACUGUGGCUUGUAUUUAUACACCCAGAGAUGGUGAUAGGCCCGUUCAGGUUGGUAUUCUGGCAUGACAGUUCAGUGUGUAAUCAUUCAUCAUAGAGUCGGAUUGCUUGAGAGUGCAGUCCAAAAUGGGUGGUAAACUCCAUCUAAGGCUAAAUACCUGUACGAGUCCGAUAGUCAACAAGUACCGUGAGGGAAAGUUGAAAAGUACUCUGAAGAGAGAGUAAAUAGUACGUGAAACCACAUGGAGGUUAAACAAAUAGAGUCAAGCUGCUUGCAUCAUAUCAUUGCAAUAUGCGCAUUUUGUUGCAUGACAUUUGCCGGGACCUGGCGUGUGAUUCUGUCUACUUGUAGGCAUUUGAACAUGUGUUUGUUGUUUGAAAGGUCUCGGUGAGUGUCUGCGCUUAUUGUUCAUGAUGGGUGCUAAUGCCAUAGUCGGUUGUACUACCAGUGCGCAGUAAUCGGCGAUUGUGCGGGCUGACUUAUUGUCGUUCGUGCAAUCAGUGAAACAGUUGGCAACAGUGUGUGCUUGCAUUCGCUUUUGUCAAAGAAGGCCACGGCCUGUUGAUUACUGUGAACAUUGUGAGAGUCGACCGUUCAUAUGUGCUCAUAUAAUUUGUGGUAGUAAGUCGACUUGUCGACUACUUCCAUAAAUGAGCUUAUGAGCUAUGGUAUUGUGGUAGACUUUCUAUUNGACCCGUCUUGACAACCCGGACCAAA